GUCAGGAUGGCCGAGUUGGUCUAAGGCGCUGGACUCAAGUUCCAGUCAACGUAUGUUGGCGUGGGUUCGAAUCCCACUUCUGACA